GGGUCGUUAGCUCAGUCGGUAGAGCAGCGGACUUUUAAUCCGUUGGUCGCAGGUUCGAAUCCUGCACGACCCACCA
rnacentral:tRNA from 39 species